AAUAAUGAUCCUUCUUCCGUAGGUGAACCUGCGGAAGGAUCAUUAUUGAAAACAAGGGUGUCCAAUUUAACUUGGAACCCAAACUUCUCAAUUCUAACUUUGUGCAUCUGUAUUAAUGGCGAGCAACUUCGGUUGUGAGCCUUCACUUACAAAACACUAGUCUAUGAAUGUAAAAUUUUUAUAACAAAUAAAAACUUUCAACAACGGAUCUCUUGGCUCUCGCAUCGAUGAAGAACGCAGCGAAAUGCGAUACGUAAUGUGAAUUGCAGAAUUCAGUGAAUCAUCGAAUCUUUGAACGCAUCUUGCGCUCUCUGGUAUUCCGGAGAGCAUGUCUGUUUGAGUGUCAUGAAUUCUUCAACCCAAUCUUUUCUUGUAAUCGAUUGGUGUUUGGAUUCUGAGCGUUGCUGGCGUUUGCCUAGCUCGUUCGUAAUACAUUAGCAUCCCUAAUACAAGUUUGGAUUGACUUGGCGUAAUAGACUAUUCGCUAAGGAUUCGGUGGAAACAUCGAGCCAACUUCAUUAAGGAAGCUCCUAAUUUAAAAGUCUACCUUUUGAUUAGAUCUCAAAUCAGGCAGGAUUACCCGCUGAACUUAAGCAUAUCAAUAAGCGGAGGAAAAAA
rnacentral:rRNA from 1 species